UACGUAGGGUGCGAGCGUUGUCCGGAAUUAUUGGGCGUAAAGGGCUCGUAGGCGGUUUGUCGCGUCGGGGAGUGAAAAACGCCGUGCUUAACACGGCGCUUGCUUUCGAUACGGGCAGACUAGAGGUAUUCAGGGGAGAACGGAAUUCCUGGUGUAGCGGUGAAAUGCGCAGAUAUCAGGAGGAACACCGGUGGCGAAGGCGGUUCUCUGGGAAUGACCUGACGCUGAGGAGCGAAAGUGUGGGGAGCGAACAGG
rnacentral:rRNA from 1 species